CCUACGGGGGGCAGCAGUGAGGAAUAUUGGUCAAUGGACGAGAGUCUGAACCAGCCAAGUAGCGUGAAGGACGACUGCCCUAUGGGUUGUAAACUUCUUUUAUAAAGGAAUAAAACGAGGCACGUGUGCCUUUUUGCAUGUACUUUAUGAAUAAGGAUCGGCUAACUCCGUGCCAGCAGCCGCGGUAAUACGGAGGAUCCGAGCGUUAUCCGGAUUUAUUGGGUUUAAAGGGAGCGUAGAUGGGUUGUUAAGUCAGUUGUGAAAGUUUGCGGCUCAACCGUAAAAUUGCAAUUGAUACUGGCAGUCGUGAGUACAGUUGAGGUAGGCGGAAUUCGUGGUGUAGCGGUGAAAUGCUUAGAUAUCACGAAGAACCCCGAUUGCGAAGGCAGCUUACUAAACUGUGACUGACAUUGAUGCUCGAAAGUGUGGGUAUCAAACAGGAUUAGAUACCCGAGUAGU
rnacentral:rRNA from 1 species